AUCAGGUAGGACUACCCGCUGAACUUAAGCAUAUCAAUAAGCGGAGGAAAAGAAACUAACAAGGAUUCCCCUAGUAACUGCGAGUGAAGCGGGAAAAGCUCAAAUUUUGAAUCUGGCGGUCUUUGCAGACCGUCCGAGUUGUAAUCUAGAGAAGCGUCUUCCGCGCCGGCCCGUGUACAAGUCUCCUGGAAGGGAGCGUCUUAGAGGGUGAGAAUCCCGUCUCUGACACGGACCACCGGGGCUAUGUGAUGCGCUCUCGACGAGUCGAGUUGUUUGGGAAUGCAGCUCAAAAAGGGUGGUAAACUCCAUCUAAAGCUAAAUAUUGGCGAGAGACCGAUAGCGAACAAGUACCGUGAGGGAAAGAUGAAAAGGACUCUGGAAAGAGAGUUAAACAGUACGUGAAAUUGCUGAAAGGGAAACGCUCGAUGUCCAGUCGCGUCGUCCGGGGGUCAACCUUGCUUCACUGCUCGGUGUAUUUCCUGGUUGACGGGUCAGCAUCAGUUUCGGUCGUCCUACAAGGGCCGAGAGGAAAGUGGCACCCUUCCGAGGGUGUGUUAUAGCCUUUCGGUCGUAUGCGGCGACCGGGACUGAGGAGACUCGGCACGCCUCGCGGUGUGCUAGAGAUGCUGGCAUAAUGGCAUUGAGCGACCCGUCUG
rnacentral:rRNA from 1 species